rnacentral:tRNA from 1 species
GCCUGUGGCGGUGGCGUAGUGGUAAGCGCUCCGAGGUAACUUCCAAAAGAUGCGGGAUUGGUCACCUUCCUAUUUGGAGGUGGUGGGUUCGAUUCCCAUCGCCGGCA